UACGUAGGGUGCGAGCGUUGUCCGGAAUUAUUGGGCGUAAAGAGCUCGUAGGCGGUCUGUCGCGUCGGGUGUGAAAUCUCGGGGCUUAACUCCGAAACUGCAUUCGAUACUGCCGUGCUUGAGGACUGGAGAGGAGACUGGAAUUUACGGUGUAGCGGUGAAAUGCGUAGAUAUCGUAAGGAAGACCAGUGGCGAAGGCGGGUCUCUGGACAGUUCCUGACGCUGAGGCACGAAGGUCAGGGGAGCAAACGGG
rnacentral:rRNA from 1 species